rnacentral:tRNA from 1 species
GCCGGAAUGGUGAAAUUGGUAGACGCAGCGGACUCAAAAUCCGCCGUCCGCAAGGGCUUGAGAGUUCAAAUCUCUCUUCCGGCACCA